GUUAUGACGCGGAGAAUCGCUAUCGGCACACGCGUAUAGUAGGAGUACGUGUCGGAUUAUGGUGUAAGGGUGCGUAGCGCUUGCAGUCAGCGUGUAAUCAGGGCUCACCUCUGACUCGCUUGAAACUGCUUGGCUUGAGUGAAGUAGAGGCAGAUGGAAUUUCCAGUGUAGCGGUAAAAUGCAUAGAUAUUGGAAGGAACACCGGUGGCGAAGGCGAUCUGCUGGGCUUUUACUGACGCUGAGGCACGAAAGUGUGGGGAGCAAACAGGAUUAGAUACCCUGGUAGUCCACACUGUAAACGAUGAUUACUAGGUGUGGGGGGUCUGACCCCUUCCGUGCCGCAGUUAACACAAUAAGUAAUCCACCUGGGGAGUACUGCCGCAAGGUUGAAACUCAAAGGAAUUGACAGGGGCCCGCACAAGCAGUGGAGUAUGUGGUUUAAUUCGACGAUACGCGAAAAACCUUACCAGGACUUGACAUCCUACUAACGAAGCAGAAAUGCAUUAGGUGCCCUUCGGGGAGAGUAGAGACAGGUGAUGCAUGGUUGUCGUCAGCUCGUGUCGUGAGAUGUUGGGUUAAGUCCCGCAACGAGCGCAACCCCUACGGUUAGUUGCUACGAAAGAGCACUCUGACCGGACUGCCGUUGAUAAAACGGAGGAAGGUGGGGACGACGUCAAAUCAUCAUGCCCUUUAUGUCCUGGGCUACACACGUACUACAAUGGCCGUUAACAAUGGGUUACAAUAGCGCGAGCUGGAGUUAAUCCCCAAAAGCGGUCUCAGUUCAGACUGCAGGCUGAAACUCGCCUGCACGAAGGCGGAAUUGCUAGUAAUCGCGAAUCAGCAUGUCGCGGUGAAUACGUUCCCGGGCCUUGUACACACCGCCCGUCACACCAUGGGAGCCGGUAAUGCCCAAAGUCGAUUGGCUAACCUCGCGGAGGCCGUCGCCUAAGCAGAUGGNC
rnacentral:rRNA from 1 species